rnacentral:miRNA from 1 species
AGGUCAGGAUGGAGUGUUAUGCU